GGCAGAAUAUUAUGUCCCGCGAAAUUUUUGAGUAAGUUCAUUCUUAAUUUUGCUAUGGUCUAUACUUCACGGUCAUACAGUACAGGUAGAAGCAUCCAAUACCAUCCUUUCAUCUUGAUGACGCAAUCGUGUUCCUUUUUUCAACGUUGUCAAAUCAAUGCUUUCUUUGUUUUUCGCGUAACUACUGAUUAGGAGCAAAGUUGCGGCAAUGCACUUUUGUUCCCAACUGCGUCGUAUUUUACAGUGUAAAACAGAGACGACUAUCAGAAUUUCUUUUGCCGAAAUUGAAGUAAUUGUGAAAUUGUGAUGUUAUUUGACGUUGAACUUAGUGUUGUGUAACCCUAGAGACUCAUGUGAGUUGUGACUUGGGCUCUUCGUGAACUUUGUGAAGAUUAUGUGAAGAGACUUCUGAAAUUCUGCUUAGCCUGUUAAGAUGACAGCUGCUCUCCUUUUUCUGACUGGCUGAAUGAAUCUGUUCCCACUUCCAGUGUGUCUCUGUUGCCUCACGCAUUACUCUCCUUUGCUCUGUUGAAAAAUAUGGAAGUUAAUAACACCGGGAGAGGGAUACCAGUUCCCAUCCUUAUAAUCCAUAAGGACUUCAAAUCUGAAGAACUACUGACUUGCGAAAGAACCGUGUUUGUUCAUCCGAAUGAACAUAAUAGCUAUCAGCAACUUCUGAAUUUCAUUCGGAGUUUCCCAGAGACGGCAAAAUAUACCGAGGAUGAUUAUACUAUCAGUUACUUUGACACGGAUAAUGAUCAGAUUCCAGUGCAAAGUGAAACCGAGUUUUCGGAAUACCUGAAAGUAUGCAUGCUUGCACAGUCGGAAGGCAAAGUUCGUUCGUUGGUCAUUUAUGAUAAAGGGCUGCCUAAGAAUCGAAUUGACUGUUGUUUCAAUGACAGCCCUCAACCUAUGAAAGCAUCACAUAAACAUAAAUUGUCAAUAGAGCACGCAGCUUCAAUUAACAUUGGUAGUGCUUUCACCAACAUGUCACUAAAUGAAAAUUCUGGUGAAAUCAGUGAUGACAACCUUGUCAACUCAGGCGGAGCCCCUUUGUGGUUUUCAAGAGAGAUGGAUAAGUUUAAAGCAGAAAUCAUGAAAAAUAUGUCUACCCACCUAGAAAGCUUCACUAAAGAAUUUCAUCUUGCUUUGGAGAAAGCCAUAAGAGGAGACGAGCCAAAGAAACUGAAGAAAAACAAAGAAAAGAAGAGAAGUGAAAAGAAAGAGAAAACCAAACUACUCGGGAGUGCCGGUACAUCCAAAACAAUGAAAGACAAGCAAACAAAAAUCAAUGAAACAUUGAAAGCUCACAACUUGACACAUCCAAAAAGUUUUGACAAUGAAAGUUUAUGCCUUGAUUACAUUGCACAGAGCCAAAAACGGAUGAAUCUAAAUGAAGAAAAGAAAACCAAAUUGCACUCAGUAGCAAAACGCAAAAAGGAGUCUCUCUCUAAAUAUGAUAACCGCUCACCGUUUUCUGCCAAGGAAAACCAAGCUCUGUUUGAUUUUUCCGUAGGAUGGGCUAUCAAUGAAACACUGACCAACUCUAAGAAAAAAGACACUGAGCGUCUUAAGACCAAAUGUAGUGAUCUUUCCCAAUCCUCCAGCGAUAGUGACAACCGCGACGGUCAGGAAGAAUCUGAUGAUAUUGUGAUCGUUGGUUUCAAUUCCUCCUUUGACGAGAUUUCUGACACUGACUUGAGCUUCGUAAAUGGAGAGGAGCUUGCAAAAGAAAUGCCCACGGAUGGAAAGGCCGUUGAUGUCGAGCUUCCUCCAUGCUUCUUCCCUGAGAUACCUGUAACAUUCAAAGACAACAUACCUUUGCAGUUGAAUCAGAAUGACUUGAAAGGAUUAAAAUCUACAAUUCCAAAUAGUCGGGCUUUUCCCUUUAAUAAGAAAAGCAGGUCAAAAGACAAGAAACAUGAUGAGAAUGUAUCCAUGGCAGAUGAAGAAGAUAUUCAUCAUUCCUCAAAAGACAAGAAACAAUCAGAGAAAUCGAAAAAGUAUUGGAGGGAACUGGAGGAGAAGUUUAAAACUCUUCAAAAUUCAUGUAAAAAUGAAGAAGACCGUUGGAAAGUUUUGGAAGCAGAAUUAAUAGGUUGGCAAUUAAUCAAUCACUCCUCAGAUCCAGCAAAUGGAAAAAAGACUGUAAAUGAAACGGACAGAAAGAAUUUAUCAAAUGAUUCCUCAUGUAUCACAGACAAUAAUGUUAAUCCUAAAAUAAGUGAAGCUCACAAAGCUUUAUCAGCAUUGAAAGAAGCAUUAAAUGAAACAAAGGAGCCCAAGAAGGUCAGAAACAAUGUCGAAAAUCCCUUUAACUCUGGCCAUCAAUUGAAACCUGUGGCAAGCUCAUUAGCGGCCAGCUCUAGCACUGAUGAGAAACUUGAUGAAAAUAAUGAUGGUAGCAAGGCUAAUGUAGAUCAGCGCAGUGAAAACGUUGGAACCAAAAUGACCGUGUCAGAGAUGUUACUUUCCAGAGAACCGCCGCAUUCUGAUGUGCUGAAGGAAAGAAAACGCAAGAAAGAGCCAGAUUUGGAUACGCUCAUGAACAUGAUGCUCCGUAUAUGCAAAAAUCCUACAAAAGAACGACAUUCUCUGAAAAAAGACACAAAUGAAGGUCAGACUCAAACUGGAGCGAAACCCAAUUUUAAUUCUCCACAUCCAAAAGGAAAAUCGUCUGCAGGGGAAAAAUCUACCUCAAAUGGAUGCACAAAGUUACAGGAACAAUUCUUGCUGAAAUCAUUGAACUCAUCAGAUGAUGAUUCUUCCUCAGAUUAUGAGGAAUGUGAAGAAACUGGUAAAUCUAGUGGGAAAACAAAUGUAGAGAUUGCUCAUGAACCUACCUCUGCCACUCAUUCUGUGGAAGAAGAAUCGAAAACUGAAGAAAUCCCCCUUAAACUCGUCAAAGAAACAUCAUUUGCCUCUUCCAUAAAUAUUGUAGAAGAUCCUUUGCAUAAAGGUAUCUCCUGUCUGACAGCACCAAACAAAACCAAUUGCUCUCAGGACUCAAGAGGAAAUUUAAAAACUGCUGCUCCAGUUGAGCCAGUAAAUAAGGCAAAUAUGAGUAAAUGGAAUGACUUAGUGUCAUCGUCAACUCGUGCAUCGCAAACCAGCAAUGCAGGACUUUCAAACGAAUCCUCCAAAAUACUUUUCUCUUGUGGUACCUCUCCUUUGGUGCAUCUCAAGGAGUUGCCAAAGAAAAUACGUCUACAGGCAUAG
rnacentral:lncRNA from 1 species